rnacentral:rRNA from 1 species
UACGUAGGGGGCAAGCGUUGUCCGGAUUUAUUGGGCGUAAAGAGCGUGUAGGCGGCCAAGCAGGUCCGCUGUGAAAACUCGAGGCUCAACCUCGAGACGUCGGUGGAAACCGUUUGGCUAGAGUCCGGAAGAGGAGAGUGGAAUUCCCGGUGUAGCGGUGAAAUGCGCAGAUAUCAGGAGGAACACCGGUGGCGAAGGCGGGUCUCUGGGCCGAUAUCGACGCUGGAGGAGCGAAAGCGUGGGGAGCGAACAGG